rnacentral:rRNA from 2 species
GUCCUUUUGAAUUUUAUUUAAGGUCUGACCUGCCCACUGAUUUAUUUAAUGGCCGCGGUAUUUUGACCGUGCAAAGGUAGCAUAAUAAUUUGUCUUUUAAUUGAAGGCUUGUAUGAAUGGUUGGACGAGAAAACUACUUUCUUUGUAAUAAAAUUAUAAAUUUUAUUUUUUAGUUAAAAAGCUAAAAUGUUGUUGUAGGACGAGAAGACCCUAUAGAACUUUAUAUUUAUUUUUAUAUUAAUAUUUUUGGUUAAUAAUAUAUUGUAUUAUAAUCAAUAUUUUGUUGGGGCGACAAGAAAAUUUAUUUAACUUUUUUUUAAUUAUUUCAUUAAUUAAUGUAUAAAUGAUCCUUUAUUAUGGAUAAUAAGAAUAAGUUACCUUAGGGAUAACAGCGUAAUUUUUUUGGAGAGUUCUUAUCGAUAAAAAAGUUUGCGA